GACGUAGGGGGCAAGCGUUAUUCGGAAUCAUUGGGCGUAAAGCGCUCGUAGGCGGAUCGGACAGUCGGUGAAGAAAGACCCGGGCUCAACUCGGGAACGGCACCGAUACUAUCGAUCUUGAGGCAAUCAGAGGGUGAUGGAAUUCCCGGUGUAGCGGUGGAAUGCGUAGAGAUCGGGAAGAACAUCAGUGGCGAAGGCGGUCUGC
rnacentral:rRNA from 1 species